CCACAUUUAACUAAUAUUUCGGAGAAUUAGAUCUGUUAGAACGACCGACUAAGCUGUAUUGUAAACAAUUUGAAUAGGUAUCCACAUUUGUCUUCAAUGGCUAUUAAAAUCAGGAAAGAAAACAAUAGGAUUUAGUUUAGUGUAGGGUCUUUUCUAAUUCUUAGAAACAAAACACGUGCAUGCGGUAGUCAAAGCCCGCUUCUUCAUAUCUCUUCAGUUAGUUUGUUACUUAUCUAUACACAAGACGCACCAAAACUUUGUGGAGUUAUUCGUGAAACUUUCAAAAUGUCGCAAAGAAAAAUAAAACAAAUUAAUAUUGAAGAAAAAUCGCGUAUUAUGUAAAUAUAUUUUUCCAAUAAUUCCCUAUCGAUUUGUUUGUACUUGCACGAUACACAUUAAACAUCACCGGUUGUUACGACUAUCGGUUUUUACGACUUAAUAAUAUGAGCAGUCCCUUCGAUGUCGUUAUAACAGAUUUUGACUGUAUUUGAAAGUUUUUUAAAAAGCACUAUUUAUAGUAUUAAAGUAUUAUUAACCUGCAUUGCGGUAGUGAUGUAGCCGCCGAGCAGCGCAGCGGCAGGAAUUGCAUAGAGAUAACCAUAUUCCGGUGGAUCACCAGGUCUGCAUGACAGAAUUCAAUUAUGUCCUUGAGGCGAAAUAUAUUAUUUGAGAAGUUUAAUUUUACCUCUUGAACAUAUCAAGCAUCCGUUGCGUAACCAAGAACCCUCCAAAUACAUUGACGAAAGAUAUUAAAGCUGCAGUACCCGCCAACCACUAUGAAAAACAAAAGUAUUGUUGUUUUAGUGCUAAUCGAAACAUCGUGAGUCACCUGAACGGGCGUCUCCGGAACAUAUCCUCCGCCCAUUAGGAGUAGUCCACCGACGGCCGUAAUACCCGACACGGCGUUUGUAACGGACAUGAGCGGCGAG